GGCGAUGCGGCCGGUCUAAGGCUCUGGAUUUAGGUUCCAGUCUCUCCGGAGGCGUGGCUUCAAAUCCCACCGCUGCCA
rnacentral:tRNA from 1 species